rnacentral:rRNA from 1 species
UACGUAGGGGGCAAGCGUUGUCCGGAUUUAUUGGGCGUAAAGAGCGUGUAGGCGGCCACACAGGUCCGCUGUGAAAACUCGAGGCUCAACCUCGAGCUGUCGGUGGAAACCGUGUGGCUAGAGUCCGGAAGAGGAGAGUGGAAUUCCCAGUGUAGCGGUGAAAUGCGUAGAUAUCUGGAGGAACACCGGUGGCGAAGGCGGCAUCCUGGACCACGACUGACGCUGAGUGAGCGAAAGCCAGGGGAGCAAACGGG